rnacentral:lncRNA from 1 species
CUUCUCUGCAGACACCAGCCUGGUGUCCUCCUUCAUCCCAGGCUGCCAGGCUAGGCAGGGGGCAGCGGCUGCCCUGGUCCUCACAGCCCUGGCUGCGGGGCCGGUGACAGCCAGAUCCUCAUGCUUCUGCGACCACAGCGCUGCCUUCAGACACCUCUCUGCUGGCAUAUUCCUGGGUCCAUGAUGGAAGAAGGAAAAGUAUUUUUAAAAGGCAAUCUAAAGCUCAUACUGUGACUGCAACAUAAAAUGUGUUCACCUUAGGAGACUGCUUUCACCGCAAGUGGGUCACCGCUGACAUCUCUGAGCUGGAUGGCACCCUGGACAUCAACCGGCCCUUCACCUUCACAUCACACAGGAGGGACACUGGUCCAUAGACAGGAUGCCUGCUCUGGUCACCAGCUGGAGGGUGGCAGAACUUGGGUACCUGAGCUUUGGACUCUGCCACGCAGAGCACUUCCUCAGUCCCUCCUGCUGCCCCUGGCAGGGUGGAGCUGGCAGGGCAGCUGA